UAGUUUACCGAGUCGUGCAGGAUGAAGAACCGUAGAGGUUCGAGCAUCGCGCAGCGAUACGACAACGCGCAGCGUUGCCCGCAGGGUGAGGCCACAGGCCGAAUCAAUCCUGUACGACCCACCC
rnacentral:sRNA from 1 species